ACCUGCGGAAGGAUCAUUAUUGAAAUAAACCUGAUAAGUUGUUGCUGGUUCUCUAGGGAGCAUGUGCACACUUGUCAUCUUUGUAUCUUCACCUGUGCACCUUUUGUAGACUUGAAUAUCUCUCUGAAUGCKUAGCAGCGGUUCAGGAUUGAGGAUUGACAUUUUUUUUUGUCUCUUCUUGUAUUUUCAGGUCUAUGUUUCUUCAUAUACCCUAAUGUAUGUUUAAGAAUGUAAUUAAUGGGUCUUUUGUGCCUAUAAACAUAUACAACUUUCAGCAACGGAUCUCUUGGCUCUCGCAUCGAUGAAGAACGCAGCGAAAUGCGAUAAGUAAUGUGAAUUGCAGAAUUCAGUGAAUCAUCGAAUCUUUGAACGCACCUUGCGCUCCUUGGUAUUCCGAGGAGCAUGCCUGUUUGAGUGUCAUUAAUAUAUAUCAACCUACUUUGGUUGGAUGUGGGCUUGCUGGCCUCUGGAGGUCAGCUCCCCUUAAAUGCAUUAGCGGACAACUGCCCACUGUUCAUUGGUGUGAUAAUUAUCUACACUAUUGACAUGAAAAGCAAGCUUCAGCUUCUAACAGUCCAUUGACUUGGACAAAUUUUAUUAAUGUGACCUCAAAUCAGGUAGGACUACCCGCUGAACUUAAGCAUAUCAAUAAGCGGAGGAAAAGAAACUAACAAGGAUUCCCCUAGUAACUGCGAGUGAAGCGGGAAAAGCUCAAAUUUAAAAUCUGGCAGUUUGGCUGUCCGAGUUGUAAUCUAGAGAAGUAUUAUCCGCGCUGGACCGUGUAUAAGUCUCCUGGAAUGGAGCGUCAUAGAGGGUGAGAAUCCCGUCUUUGACAUGGACUACCAGGGCUUUGUGAUGUGCUCUCAAAGAGUCGAGUUGUUUGGGAAUGCAGCUCAAAAUGGGUGGUAAAUUCCAUCUAAAGCUAAAUAUUGGCGAGAGACCGAUAGCGAACAAGUACCGUGAGGGAAAGAUGAAAAGAACUUUGGAAAGAGAGUUAAACAGUACGUGAAAUUGCUGAAAGGGAAACGCUUAAAGUCAGUCGCGUUGUCCAGGGAUCAACUCUUGCUUUUGCUUGGUGUACUUUCUGGUUAACGGGUCAGCAUCAAUUUUGACUAUUGGAAAAAGAUCAAGGGAAUGUGGCAUCUUUGGAUGUGUUAUAGCCUUUGGUUGCAUACAUUAGUUGGGAUUGAGGAACUCAGCACGCCGCAAGGCCGAGUUUUAAUACUACGUACGUGCUUAGGAUGCUGGCAUAAUGGCUUUAAUCGACCCGUCUUGA
rnacentral:rRNA from 1 species